CCUACGGGCGGCAGCAGUCGAGAAUCAUUCACAAUGGAGGAAACCCUGAUGGUGCGACGCCGCGUGGGGGAAUGAAGGUCUUCGGAUUGUAAACCCCUGUCAUGUGGGAGCAAAUUAAAAAGAUAGUACCACAAGAGGAAGAGACGGCUAACUCUGUGCCAGCAGCCGCGGUAAUACAGAGGUCUCAAGCGUUGUUCGGAAUCACUGGGCGUAAAGUGUGCGUAGGCUGUUUCGUAAGUCGUGUGUGAAAGGCGCGGGCUCAACCCGCGGACGGCACAUGAUACUGCGAGACUAGAGUAAUGGAGGGGGAACCGGAAUUCUCGGUGUAGCAGUGAAAUGCGUAGAUAUCGAGAGGAACACUCGUGGCGAAGGCGAGUUCCUGGACAUUAACUGACGCUGAGGCACGAAGGCCAGGGGAGCGAAAGGGAUUAGAUACCCUUGUAGUC
rnacentral:rRNA from 1 species